rnacentral:ncRNA from 1 species
GAUUUAGUAAUAGGGGUUAGUUAUGGCUAAGUUUGUGCCAGCAGCCGCGGUUAUACAUUAAUUGCUAUUAAACAUUAUUGGUUGUGUAGUUUGAUGGUCGGGUUACAUUAUUGGCUUGAUAUUGAAUUGGUUUAUUAGGUGGAAUUAGUUUAUUUUUGAUUACUGCCUUUUUGUUGAUUGUAGGCUAUGAAAUCUUUUUGUUAAACUAGGAUUAGAUACCCUAUUAUUUUUGACAUUAAUUUUAUUUCCUGGGUAGUACUAGAUAUGAUCUUGAAACCUAAAGAAUUUGGCGGUGCCCUAUUCCUUUCAGAGGAAUCUGCCCUGUAAUCGAUGAUCCGCGUUGAACCUUACUUGAUUUUUUUUGUUUGUAUACCGCCGUUAUAGUGAGAAUCUUUUUAGUGUUAAAAUUCUCUAGACUCAUAAUUUUGUUUUAUUUCAGGUCAAGGUGCAGCUUGUUUUUAAGUGUGAGGUGGAUUACAUUGUGUUUUUUGAUUUUGGAGUGUUGAAUGAAUAUUUGAUAGGAAAUUGGAUUUGAUUGUAAUUUGUUGAAGAUUGUUUUUAUGAUAUUGGCUCUAGGGCAUGCACACAUCGCCCGUCGCUCUCAUUCUGUUGAGAUAAGUCGUAACAAAGUGGUCGUACCGGAAGGUGUGGCUGGA